rnacentral:rRNA from 1 species
UUCGCCCUUAGAGUUUGAUCCUGGCUCAGGACGAACGCUGGCGGCGCGCCUAACACAUGCAAGUCGAACGAGCGAGAGAGAGCUUGCUUUCUCGAGCGAGUGGCGAACGGGUGAGUAACGCGUGAGGAACCUGCCUCAAAGAGGGGGACAACAGUUGGAAACGACUGCUAAUACCGCAUAAGCCCACGGCUCGGCAUCGAGCAGAGGGAAAAGGAGCAAUCCGCUUUGAGAUGGCCUCGCGUCCGAUUAGCUAGUUGGUGAGGUAAUGGCCCACCAAGGCGACGAUCGGUAGCCGGACUGAGAGGUUGAACGGCCACAUUGGGACUGAGACACGGCCCAGACUCCUACGGGAGGCAGCAGUGGGGAAUAUUGCACAAUGGGGGAAACCCUGAUGCAGCGACGCCGCGUGGAGGAAGAAGGUCUUCGGAUUGUAAACUCCUGUUGUUGAGGAAGAUAAUGACGGUACUCAACAAGGAAGUGACGGCUAACUACGUGCCAGCAGCCGCGGUAAAACGUAGGUCACAAGCGUUGUCCGGAAUUACUGGGUGUAAAGGGAGCGCAGGCGGGAAGACAAGUUGGAAGUGAAAUCCAUGGGCUCAACCCAUGAACUGCUUUCAAAACUGUUUUUCUUGAGUAGUGCAGAGGUAGGCGGAAUUCCCGGUGUAGCGGUGGAAUGCGUAGAUAUCGGGAGGAACACCAGUGGCGAAGGCGGCCUACUGGGCACCAACUGACGCUGAGGCUCGAAAGUGUGGGUAGCAAACAGGAUUAGAUACCCUGGUAGUCCACACUGUAAACGAUGAUUACUAGGUGUUGGAGGAUUGACCCCUUCAGUGCCGCAGUUAACACAAUAAGUAAUCCACCUGGGGAGUACGACCGCAAGGUUGAAACUCAAAGGAAUUGACGGGGGCCCGCACAAGCAGUGGAGUAUGUGGUUUAAUUCGACGCAACGCGAAGAACCUUACCAAGUCUUGACAUCCUGCGACGGUUCUGGAAACAGAACUUUCCUUCGGGACGCAGAGACAGGUGGUGCAUGGUUGUCGUCAGCUCGUGUCGUGAGAUGUUGGGUUAAGUCCCGCAACGAGCGCAACCCUUAUGGUCAGUUACUACGCAAGAGGACUCUGGCCAGACUGCCGUUGACAAAACGGAGGAAGGUGGGGAUGACGUCAAAUCAUCAUGCCCUUUAUGACUUGGGCUACACACGUACUACAAUGGCGUUAAACAAAGAGAAGCAAGACCGCGAGGUGGAGCAAAACUCAGAAACAACGUCCCAGUUCGGACUGCAGGCUGCAACUCGCCUGCACGAAGUCGGAAUUGCUAGUAAUCGCAGAUCAGCAUGCUGCGGUGAAUACGUUCCCGGGCCUUGCACUCACCGCCCGUCA